UACGUAGGGUGCAAGCGUUUGUCCGGAAUUAUUGGGCGUAAAGAGCUCGUAGGCGGUUUGUCGCGUCGAAUGUGAAAACCCUGGGCUCAACCCCGGGCCUGCAUUCGAUACGGGCAGACUAGAGUUCGGUAGGGGAGUCUGGAAUUCCUGGUGUAGCGGUGAAAUGCGCAGAUAUCAGGAGGAACACCGGUGGCGAAGGCGGGGACUCUGGGGCCGAUACUGACGCUGAGGAGCGAAAGCGUGGGGGAGCAAACAGG
rnacentral:rRNA from 1 species